GGCGCCACACGGGGCCGCCAGCGCCCGGCCCCUCUGCGAGAGCAGGACCUCCGCUGCCGCGGGAAGGCGCCCUGGCCCCGCCGGGCCUGCCCUCAGCUGCCUGCAGCGGCCGGACUUCGCCUCUCUCAGGUGCGGCAGAAGGACGAGUAAUACAAACUACUGAACUUACCUAAUGCCAAAUCACCUUUUUCAUAUCGGGAGAGGACUAAGAAUGAGUUUCAAAAUAAGGGAAAAAAUCAGCUCCUGCGAGAAAACAUGAAAGUUGUUGUCUUCUACUUGUUGGAAAGGAAAACUGACGAUCUUGGAAUAUUUUGCAAGACAGGAUUCAAAACUUGUGGAUAGUCUCCUCAUGACAGUGAUGAGAUGAUGCCCUAUGAGACAGCAUAUCUCAGCUUGCUUUUACAUUGCUGUCAGAAGUAAUUAGAGACAGUCAACACUCCCCAGCAUCCUUCAGCACAUCUGAGUAGCAGCCAAACCAGAACUGACUUCAGUUUCUUUGUACUCAGCUCACCUUCCCCAGGGAACUAACCAAGUACUUGAGUUUCCUCUAAUCGCUCUUGGUUCUGCUGUGCUUCUCCAUGCCCUGACAGCACUGCCAUUCAUCCUGGGUGCAGGCCAAGUCCUUCUGCAGGGGUCAUUUGGAGCUGACUGGCAAGAGCACUCCUGUUUCUUGUCACAGAUAUGUCUUGGAGGAAAGUGGUGCAUUGUGUAAUCCUCCUGGUAGUCUGACAUGCCAGCCCUUUUGAAUUCCAAUCUUUCAGGGCAGUGUCAUUUAUCCUGUUACUUGCACAGUCUGGUAGAUGCAUUUCACACUUCCUUUAAUUUGAUCCUGUACCCUCUGCUGCACUCUCGUCAGUUACCUUCAGGCUUCUAAUGCAUGUACAGCAGAUUUUAUGAACUCAUAACUUCACAGGCUGUUGAUUCACAUUUUUUUCUUUAGCACUGUAGGUAUGUUUCCCUUUAUCAUCUAUUUUAAGCAAUGAGGUACUUCUUCAGUCUCAUAGGUGCUUCCUGGUUUGGAAGGCUUUGCCCUGGAUGACAGGUGGCUUAGGGGCAGGGAGAUAUUUGGUGCUGGACGAAAAAAAGCAGCUGGCUGAGGCAUCAGGCCCCAAUUUCUGAGGGAGGCAGGAGUUUUCUCUCCUCUGUCUGCAGAUGCUGCUGCUGUUUUAUAGCAAAUUUUGCUAACUGAGUAAUUGUGGGUUUUCAGGUGAGGUAGGAAGAAACCUUCUGGAAAGAACUCACAGAUGGUUGUGAGGCUAUUCCUUUGAAGCCUUAAGAAUAUAAAAUAUUGUUUGGAAAAUGAAUUACAGGCUCACACGCAAAAAGUGGCCUUCAGGAGUGUAUUCAAACAUGAGAGAGCCAUUCAGGAGCCUGGAAAAGAAGGAAGGGAUCACUGAUGGGCAGCUGGAGGCACCUGUAACACCUGGUGCUGGACUUAGGCCUUAAUGCUUGUCCUCUGGGAACUGUCAUGCUUGUGCUUCUCAAAGAUGCAGUGAAGUCACAUGCUGGUGUUUUAUGUAAUGAAAAUGUGCUACAUGUGCUCACUAUAUAAUUUUUAAAGCUUCAUGUGAAAAUCUAUGCAUGGCAUAUAGAGUAUUACUUCUUCAGCAAGAGCCGUGUUGUCUUAGGAGGAGAUUUGAAAUACAUUUUCUGAGAUGUAUUUCUUUCGUUUUACAUAAUUCAAGACUUUGUCUUUGGAAAGGGUGCAGUUGAGACUAAAAAAGCUAUUGCUGUGUCUUCCUGUUUCUCCCCCCAACUUCUGGAAUUCCUUCUGUCCCUCUUUGAAGUAUUGCAUAAUUCUAUGAUGAACUAAAGAGAUUAUUUCAGCUGUAACCAACCUUUAAAUCUUGUAAUGAAGCAAAAAACUUUUAAUUAUUUUCUGCAAUGCUUUAAUACAAUUAAUCAUUGCUUUGAAGGUCAGAUCUUGCAUUUUGAAAUCAGAAACUUCUACUUCUCAUAAAUGGAUGGUGUAGCUGGCUUCUGAGUGUCUAAAGCAGCCAUGGCCACCAAGAAUCUCAGGAGUGCAUUUGGACAAGGAAAAUCUAAUCUGUCUGUAAAGUACUAUCACAAUGCAGGUCUGCUCUGAUGAAACCACAACUAAUGCUGAUGCCUGCCUAUGGUGGGAAGAGAACCCAGAUUAUAAACUUGCGAUUUCUGGCCUCUUAAUAGGCAAGUCUGUUGCUCAUCUCCCCGUCGGUUCCCUUUGUUUCUGUUCUUCCUCUUUUAUUAUUAACUCAUAUUGAAGUUCAGUGUCACUGUUUCCUGGGAACCCAGUUUCAUUUGGGUGUACAUACAGUCCAGAGAAGUCACAUAUU